UUUAAAAUUUGACUUUAACCGUUUAAGUCUCUAAAAAUAUAGAAGUGGUUUACCCUAAGGGUUUUGACCAUUCUAAAUCCAUUUUUGUGUAGUUUAAGGCAAUUCGGAGACUCGAGAACGCAGUUUUGAUUUAUUGGGAAGUGUGCUUGAAUUGUGAAUUUGAGAAACUGUCGUUGAGAACGAGGCUGGUAAUUGAAGAUUUCGUGAGUGGAGUCUGUUGCUGAGGUGAGCCACCACAUUGUUCGCGGAGGCAGCCAUUUCAGCUUUAUCUAGUUUAUUUCUAGUUAUUUCUUUUAUUUUGGGUUUACAUGCCCGACACUCAAACUCAUGUAACUCUGUUAGAUGCUCCAUGGUCUUAGCGUGGGAUGUGGGCUAGAGAUUCUUUUUCUCUUAGCGUUGGUUGGUUUUCAUAAAUCGAUUAUGGAUUUGGUUGGCGACUA